CCUACGGUAGGCAGCAGUGAGGAAUAUUGGUCAAUGGACGAAAGUCUGAACCAGCCAAGUAGCGUGAAGGAUGACUGCCCUAUGGGUUGUAAGCUUCUUUUAUAUGGGAAUAAAAUGUUCCACGUGUGGAAUUUUGUAUGUACCCUAUGAAUAAGGAUCGGCUAACUCCGUGCCAGCAGCCGCGGUAAUACGGAGGAUCCGAGCGUUAUCCGGAUUUAUUGGGUUUAAAGGGAGCGUAGGUGGAUUGUUAAGUCAGUUGUGAAAGUUUGCGGCUCAACCGUAAAAUUGCAGUUGAAACUGGCAGACUUGAGUGCAGUAGAGGUGGGCGGAAUUCGUGGUGUAGCGGUGAAAUGCUUAGAUAUCACGAAGAACUCCGAUUGCGAAGGCAGCUCACUGGACUGAAACUGACACUGAGGCUCGAAAGUGUGGGUAUCAAACAGGAUUAGAUACCCGUGUAGUC
rnacentral:rRNA from 1 species